GACGAACGCUGGCGGCGUGCCUAACACAUGCAAGUCGAACGGAAAGGCCCUGCUUUUGUGGGGUGCUCGAGUGGCGAACGGGUGAGUAACACGUGAGUAACCUGCCCUUGACUUUGGGAUAACUUCAGGAAACUGGGGCUAAUACCGGAUAGGAGCUCCUGCUGCAUGGUGGGGGUUGGAAAGUUUCGGCGGUUGGGGAUGGACUCGCGGCUUAUCAGCUUGUUGGUGGGGUAGUGGCUUACCAAGGCUUUGACGGGUAGCCGGCCUGGGAGGGUGACCGGCCACAUUGGGACUGAGGGACGGCCCAGACUGCUACGGGAGGCAGCAGUGGAGAAUAUUGCACAAUGGGCGGAAGCCUGAUGCAGCAACGCCGCGUGCGGGAUGACGGCCUUCGGGUUGUAAACCGCUUUCGCCUGUGACGAAGCGUGAGUGACGGUAAUGGGUAAAGAAGCACCGGCUAACUACGUG
rnacentral:rRNA from 1 species